GGUAAAUUAAAAAAUCAAACGCAACCGUGCGAAGUUUAUAUUCUUAAUCUUAUCCAACAUUUUGGUUAUUAUUGCUUGUUUAAAUACUUAGCAGAAGGAACCAGUUUUUACGGCGAGUAGUGAUAUUCUUAUGCUGGAUUUUUAUUCUAUUUGACAUCGCUAGUGGUCUGACGUACGGUCAAACAAAAUGUUCAGAUGGAGAACAAUGUCGCAGUUUGUAUGGAGGAACAAACAACUGUUGCUGUAAAAAUGACACCACAAGUUCCACAAGUCAUUGACAUUCCCAUUCAGGAACAUCUCCAAAUGGAAAUGGAUUUCCAUGGUGGGGAGCUGUGAUUAUAGUUGUUCUGAUAGUUUGCACAGAAUAAAGAAACGACAGCCACACAAACAACUGUAGACAUGCUUUAGUUGUGAUAAUGCACAUCCGAAUACUUGGACACUAUUCUUCAAUGUUUCAACUAACUGAAUACAAUAUUACUACAAGAAUACUUUUUACAAUGGAAUUUGGAAAAUAACACCUGAUAUAGCAGAUCUCAAAUUGUCUCUAUAUAGAAGCAGUUAUAGACUUAAAUGACAUGAAGAAGAAUUUCGGAAUUAAGAAAUAAUACAUCUCAAACAGUGGAGGCAGUAAACCGUUUUCUGAGCUUCUCGGCCUAGAGUCGCCUACCCAACUUUCAAAACCUCACACAAAAGUCUGUAACCACACACCUGAAACAAAGAUAUUGCAACAUUAGCAUCACUGUAUGUCUAUCGUUACAAGCCAUCUGCAAUACAUCUCUAAUAUCUACUUUUCUGUUUACAAGACCAGAAUUUUGUGCUCUCCCGGUCGCGGAAACUGAUGACGAAAAAAGCUAAAUUUGCCAAUUUUCAAAUCGCUGUAGAAAAUUUCCUGCAAAUGAUAGCCCCAACUGCUACACUGUUCCAUACUCCAGCAACACUGUAAAAUCUGAAAAUAAUCUCAAAUAUAUGUGCCAUCCGUACCGUUUUUUCACUAUUCCAGUUUUCCUGAGGCCCCUGCUAAAAUGACAACCCCACUUUAAGCUAACUCAGAGGAAGCAUGUAUACGCACCUGCAAGUCGUUACAUCAUACUAUCAAGAUCAAGGCUACUCAACUGAUUUUCUUUAAAUAAGUGGAACUCAAUUCUAGCCGCUGAAACUUCAAUUAUAGCAAUUAUUAUUGUUUGAAACUUCAAAUAUCCACUUCAAUCCGUAAAUUGCCUCUUAUUUGUAAAUUUGACCCUGGCCAAUUCGACACUAACAGCUCAAAACUGUUUACUGCCUCCUUUUAUUACAAAUUAAAAUAUGUGGUUUCGGUGACGGGUUUUACUCGUCUGUGCUCAUUUUGUACAAUGAAUGAUUGGAGGGCAGCUUGUUUAUUAGUUUUAAAAAUACUGUAAAAUACGGACAUAAAAUUUAAUGAUAUUACAUGUGCAUUGGCUCAAACUCCGGUUCUGAGCCCCACCUUCCCGCCGUUUACUACACCUCUUAUUUAAAAAAAAAAUAAAAAAAUAAAAUAAAUAAAACAAAAACUUCACCUGUCAAAAACAAAUGCGCACAAACGGGUGGGCACAGUAUAAACCACAUAAUUUGUUUUGUAGCUGGUAUAUAUAUGAUUUUAAUUGAAAACAUUUAUGUCGUUUGCUUAUGUAUCAGUUUCUUCGAAUUGUUAUAGAUUUGAUGAUGUAUUUGUUUUAAUUAGCUAUGAGUUGUACUUAUCUAUUUUUAGAACUUGUUUACCGAAAAAUAAAAACAUCCUGGUAGUAACUAUUUUCCAUACUUAGAGCAUUAUAGAAAGUUUCCAGUAACCCUUUUUCCACAGAGAUACAUUUAGACAUUUUUCCGAAAAAAUAUGGAACAAGAAGAUACCACUAUAACUAUUUUACUUUACAUAACGGGAAUCGCUUUUCUGAUGAAUUAAAAUUUUUGGUAAGAAUGA